rnacentral:rRNA from 1 species
CAAGUACCGUGAGGGAAAGUUGAAAAGCACUCUGAAUAGAGAGUUAAAUAGUACGUGAAACCGCUUAGGGGUUAAGCCUGAUGAACCCGAAUAUUUGAAAUGGGAAAUUCAUUAUUAUUAAGUAGCUACGCUUUGCCGUAGCGAACAAUGGUAUGCACUUUUCUCAGUGUAAAACAUUGCAAUCUAUUUGUAUAUCCGUAUGGAUGGUUUAUCAAAUGGCCCGUAUGGUUUGUUCAUUCCUAUCUGUGACAUUUUACAUGUCAUAUGGUUGAUGCCAUAUCGGUGACCUGGUAAACAGCAGAUAGUUUUUAAAGAUCAUGCAACCACAUUUUAUGUGUAUCACGGUUUGUGUGCUUUUGGUGCGCGAAUGCAGUGAUAGCAUGUAUCCGAUUGGCAAUGCGAUAGGUUUGGGAACCUUCAGGACCCGUCUUGAAACACGGACCAAGAAGUCUAACAUGUGUGCGAGUCAUUGGGUAUAUUGUUGAAACCUAAGGGCGCAAUUAAAAUAACUAUUUUAUAUGGGAUUACAAGUGAAUUAAAUUUCAUUUCUUCAUCCCGGGGCGUUCUAUACGAACAUGGUGCAAGCAAUUGUGCCCUCUGUUCAAGAGCGUACCUUGAGCACACAUGCUGUGACCCGAAAGAUGGUGAACUAUACCUGAUCAGAUCGAAGCCAGGAGAAAUUCUGGUGGAGGAUCGAAACAGUUCUGACGUGCAAAUCGAUUGUCAGAAUUGGGUAUAGGGGCGAAAGACCAAUCGAACCAUCUAGUAGCUGGUUCCCUCCGAAGUUUCCCUCAGGAUAGCUGGCGCAAAGAAUUAUAUUGUAUAUAAUCUUAUCUGGUAAAGCGAAUGAUUAGAGGCCUUGGGGCCGAAACGACCUCAACCUAUUCUCAAACUUUAAAUGGGUAAGAACCUCAUCUUUCUUGAUCUGAAGAUAUUGGGGUUUAGAUAUAUUGUGCCCAGUGGGCCACUUUUGGUAAGCAGAACUGGCGCUGUGGGAUGAACCAAACAUGAUGUUACGGCGCCUAAAUUAAUGACUCAUAUUGAUACCAUGAAAGGCGUUGGUUGCUUAAAACAGCAGGACGGUGGACAUGGAAGUCGUAAUCCGCUAAGGAGUGUGUAACAACUCACCUGCCGAAGCAACUAGCCCUUAAAAUGGAUGGCGCUCAAGUCAUAUGCCUAUACAUCAUCGCUAGAAUAAAAACUGUUGACCCAUCGCGGGCCAUCAGUAUGAAAUUCUAGUGAGUAGGAGGGUACAAUGGUGUGCGCGGAAGUGUUUGGCGUGAGCCUGCAUGAAGCCGCCAUUGGCACAGAUCUUGGUGGUAGUAGCAAAUAAUCGAAUGAGAUCUUGGAGGACUGAAGUGGAGAAGGGUUUCGUGUGAACAGUGGUUGAUCACGAGUUAGUCGGUCCUAAGCUUUAUGCGAAAGCUGUUUAAUUUAUGUUACACAUAAGCAAUAAAGUUAAUUUUUUGUUGUACAUAAUUCAAUAAAAGCGAAAGGGAAUACGGUUCCAAUUCCGUAACCUGUUGAGUAUACGUUUGUUUAUUAAAAAUGGGUCUUAUUACACUCAUCCUGGCAACAGGAACGACCAUAGAGAAGCCUUCGAGAGAUACUGGAAGAGUUUUCUUUUCUGCUAAACAAACGUAUCACCAUGGAAGUCUUUUAUAGAGAGAUAUGGUGAAUGGCUUGGAAGAGCAUGACAUUUACUGUUGUGUCAGUAUUUUCUCCUUGGACCUUGAAAAUCUAUGGUGGGGCCACGCAAACUUUCUCAACAGACCGUACCGAUAUCCGCAGCCGGUCUCCAAGGUGAAGAGUCUCUAGUCGAUAGAAUA